UACGUAGGGGCAGCAGUGUCGGAUUCGAUUGGUGCGUAAAGAGCUCGUAGGCGGUUUGUCGCGUCUGCCGUGAAAGUCCGGGGCUCAACUCCGGAUCUGCGGUGGGUACGGGCAGACUUGAGGCAUUAAGGGGAGAACGGAAGUUCCUGGUGUAGCGGUGAAAUGCGCAGAUAUCAGGAGGAACACCGGUGGCGAAGGCGGUUCUCUGGCAAUGUUCUGACGCUGAGGAGCGAAAAGUGUGGGGGAGCGAACAGG
rnacentral:rRNA from 1 species